rnacentral:rRNA from 1 species
CCUAUGGGGUGCAGCAGUUAAGGAUUUUUUGCAAUGCACGCAAGUGUGACAAAGCGAGCCAGUAGUGUCUUUCUUUUUUGAAAGACUUUUGCCAGUUGUAAAAAGACUGGCGAAUAAGGACUGGGCAAGACCGGUGCCAGCCGCCGCGGUAAUCCCGGCGGUCCGAGUCGCAGCCACUUUUAUUGGGUCUAAAACAUCCGUAGCUUGCAAAGUCAGUCUUUUGUGAAAUCCCAUGUCUCAAGCAUGGGGCGGGCAAGAGAUACUGCUUUGCUAGAGAUCGGAGGACGUGAGGAGUACGAUCGAGGUAGUGGUUAAAUACGUUAAUCUCGGUCGGACUAACGAUAGCGAAGGCACCUUACGAUUACGAUUCUGACAGUAAGGGAUGAAGGCCAGGGGCGCAAAACGGAUUAGAUACCCGUGUAGUCCUGGCAGUAAACCCUGCACACUAAACAUCGGUGCCUCCUCGAGAGGCGUCGGUGCUGCACCGAAGGGGAAGAGUGUGCUACCUGGGAAGUAUAGUCGCAAGGCCGAAACUUAAAGGAAUUGGCGGGGAGACACCACAACGGGGUGACGCGUGCGGUUCAAUUAGAUUCUACACCGUGAACCUCACCAGGACCGACAGCAGAAUGAAAGUCAGUCUGAAAGGGCUUACUGGACACGCCGAGAGGAAGUGCAUGGC